AGGAUGGGUGGGCUGUGGAGGGCUGCCUGAGAUCACUAGUUCCCUAACAUCCUCAGUCUUCCUUGGUUGCAGAGUCCGGCAGUGAUGUCCCUGAAUGGCUCCCUUCUGGCACAUGGCUGCAAGUCCAGCCUCGUUGGACACCUCUCUUCUGGUGAAGCCUUUACCCACAUCCACUUCCACACCUUCUGUGGUCUCCACAACCACUUGGAAGCUCAGCUUCAACAUUCAUGGCCUCUACUCAAGCAACUGGGAAUUGCCAGAGAGAACCUCAUCAGGGUGUCAGCCAAAGGAGGGGAUGCACCAAGGGUGCUGCUUGAAUUGACUACAGGCCCAUGUUCUAUGAUGGCAGACGGAGAUGUCAGGAUGGAAAGCAACACCACUCAAACCAACUGGACCCUUUCUCUGGGGAACCAUUGCCCUAUAUUAGAGAAAGCAGGCUUUCCACAGAGCCUGGCCACCAGGGGCUCCUUCAGGGCUGGGUUCUGUGACGGUGACCUGACCAUGGCCCUCCAGAGCGAUGAAGGAGAUGCCCAUGUGCACUUAGCAACUUCUUGCAGACAAAAACCCUUGGUGCAAGGAAGCCUGCACCACUCCUUCAGGCCUCUGAGCCGCCUGGGGCUGCCUCCCAGCAGUGCCAUCCACCUGCAGGCAGGGUUGGGCCCUGCCCCACACAGCUCCUUGACUCUCCAAGUUGGGCAGUGUCGGCUUCAGGGCAGAAUGGAGUUCCAGUCCAGGAACAGAACCCAGUGGGUACUGGAGACAGAGACGGAGUGUGAUCUACUGCAGGACCUUGGAAUCCCCGCCCAGAUGCACCUCAAUGGAUCAACUCAGGUUGCCGGCUGUCAGGUUAAGCUGCUCUGCACCCUCUUGACGGGUGGCCAGACAGCCUUCUUGGAACUCAGGGGAGCGUGCCAACCACAGCUCACCAUCCGGGCCAUAUUCAGGCACACCUUGCCAGAGCUCUGGGCCAUUCCAGAGGAGACCAAGCUGUCUUUUCAAGCUGGAAAACAGACCAAGUACCAGCUGGACCUGAAGCUGAGAUCAGGAGCCUGUGAAAUCCAAGCCAAUGGGGAUCUGCAACUGGAGAGAAAGUUCCAGUGGAGGGGGCUGGUGGAGAAUUCCUGCAAAGCACUGCAGGCUCUUGGGGCCCCACGUCGGAUUGAUGGUUCAGGCUACGUGGUGGUGAACAGUAUGGAUCUGGAUGCCCAGAUGUUGGUCACUGUAGAUGACAGCACCCUUCGAGGCCUUCUCGUCCUGAAGGCCACUGAGACACACCAAGAACUAGACAUGCUGUUUACCCACAACCUCCCUGAUGCUCUCCACUUUGGCAUCCCAACUCGGACCCUGGCAGAUGUGACCACAGUGAGAAGUAACCAUAGUUACAGGCGUACCAUCCGGUUUGGCAUGGACAGCAAGCAGAUUUCUGAAGAGCUCAGCUUCACUCAACAAUCAGACUACAUUUCCCUCGACUACAAAAUCCGACACAAUGUCCCAACAUUGCAGGCAUUGGGGUUAGAAGAUAAGAUAGACUUGCAGGUCUCUCUGGACCACCAAGCAGCCAAGAACUUGAGUGGCAGGGCUCAGUAUGGCUCAGGCAUCAUCAUCUUUGGAGGCCAAAGCCAGAGCACCACAACCAGACAUUCCUGGUCUGGUACCCUCUGGCAUAACUGGCCUGUGUUGUUGCAGUGUGGACUCCCAGAAUCACUUCAGGUUGUAAUGUACCUUCAAGGAACCAGUUUCAACAUUGAUAGCUCCGUGAACAUUCUGGUGGGGCAGACGUCUCUCAACUACACCACGAGCUGUUCUUAUACCAGACAGCAAAUGGCGUUCUCCUGCUGGAGUAGACAUAACAGCAGUGCUCUGAGGGAAGGAACUGGCUACCCAGAGGUGGUUGGCCUCACGGUAGUGCUACAGACACAAGAAACCCAGACCCAGGGCAGCGUGGACAUCCAGGGAGGAGACAGGAAAGUCAGUGUGGAUUUGGCAGCUCUGAUGUCCUUGGAACUAAAUGGGACCCUCAAGCUUGUGGCCCACAUCCAACACACAGUGCCAAUUCUCAGGCAGCUGGGCCUGCCCUUCACAACCCAGUUGUUAUUCCAGGAAAUCCUGGCAGCCAGUGAAAUGAAAACAUCCUUGGAAGUAACCUGUGAGUCUGAAACAAGUCUUCUCAUUCAUGUGAGGGGAAGGAAUCAACCACUCAGAAAAGAACUGUAUGUUACCAGCCAACAGCAUCUCUCCUUCCUCCUCAAUCACUUCCCUAGGACAGCCAAGCUUUCCACCAAGGUGAGUUACUCCAUGAGUGAAGCCGAAAGCAUGAUUGCCGUUGACCUGGAAAAGCACCAUUUCCACGUGGCCACAAAGCUGACAGUUACUGCAUCCAACCUCACUCAAGUGACUGAGCUGAUGCAUACAAUUCCCCAGCUCAAAAUGAUCCCCUGGGAAAUGGUGCUCGUGACCAUGUAUCAGAAAGCCAACGGGACAAGGAGCAUCCAACAGUUGGUACUUUGGGACGGCCAGGAGUUCAAGUUCAUUGGCAGCUACACAGGGCUCUUUCCCAAGUUCUCCAGGAGCGAGCACAUGCAGGUGGAACUUGUCCAUCCUCUCUCCAUCCCUUUUCCUCAACAUUCCAAGAUCACCACGACCCUGCUACACUCAGUUCACAGCCAUCAAGAUAAUCUAGUCAUUGAAUGGAAUGCCAAGGAACAGGUGGUGCUGUCCUCCUCUCUAAAGCUGGGGAAGGAUCACGUGCGUGGCCAGGUGGCUUUUGCUCAUCCCUUCAACCUAUCCUGGAGCCACAUGGAAGCCAAGGGCCUGGCAGAGAAGAGGGGCAGCAGGUACAGCCAACAGGUACAACUUGCCUGGAAUAGAGGGAAACCUGUCAACUUCCAGUUUUCCUGGGCAGACAGGUCAGAAGCUACCAUCACCAACUGGGAAGGCUGUCUGACUGCAUCCUCAGGACAGCUCCAGAAAUUCCUGACCCUGGGCAAUCUCAAGGCCUGUGGAUCUGUAACUCAAACUGCAACAGUGUUCAGCGAGCAUCUUGAUCUGUCCUGGGACAGCCAGAAAGUCAAACAGAGUCUGAAAUAUGAGAGACACCGGCCACUCCGGUCAGAUAGACUGCAUGCAGAAGUGGUUCUAGAGAAUAUCUUCUUGACCUCCUGCCCCAAGCAAAACUUCCUGGGAGAAAUAGAGACUAACUACCUGAACCAUCUCAGCCAUUCUCUCAGACUGGGACUCUGUAAUCUUUCCAGUGCUGUUGCGAUCUCUGGAGAAUAUCUGCUGAACCAAGGUAGCUUCGUGCUACACUCUAGGGGCCUGCUCCGCCUCGCCCCAGACCCUGGGCAUGGUUUGGUGUUGGUCUUGACCCUCAGGAACCACAGUACUCCAAAGACUCAAGACUUCUCUGGAGAGCUAGAGCUGAGGGCACCAGGAGAUCAGCAAGUAAGCCUGCUGGGAAGGGUCACUGAAUCAGCCUCUCAGAGUGUAGUCCUGCUACAGGGAAGCAUGGAAUUAGAGGAAAAGUUGGAGUUGACAGCUUCCCGAGCCCCAGACUGUCUCCGGGCUUACCUGGCAUAUGGAAAAGGGACAAAGGAGGAGGGUGUGGAGAUCAGUGCCUGCUCCGACAGAAGGCAGGUGGCCAAGGCUGAGGCCAUGCUUCGUGUCAGUGGUGGGCAAAAUGAACACUUGGGCCAGCUGAUCCUCAGGGCUGCCAACCAGAGUCUGAGCCUGGCUGCACAUGGCUGCAUCACCCCCAUUGGGAAUGUGGAGUCCAAACUGGCUGAGGUUGGCUCUCACCUACAAGCCAGACUGGUGGAGAAGUUCCAGGUGUUUGACUCCUAUCUCCAGAAGUUCCGGGACGUGGUGCAACAGAUUGACUUCCUGGACAGUGCAGCUGGCUGGGUCCUGCAGAUGUCCCAGGCUGCUGUGAGAGCGCUCCAGGCAGGGGGUAGAGCAGCAGCUGGACUAUGGAGGCAAAGCUCAGCCAGGCAGGUGCUGAGACAUCACCUCCCCCUGCACCUGGAGAGACUCCAGACUGUUAUGGAACAGACGCAGAGUGAGCUGCAAAAGCCAUUAGCCACGCUGAAGGAUGCCUACUACGAAGUCACACUCAAACCCCUGGAUGAGGUAUGGCAGGAGAGGACUGAGGAGGCUAUGAGGAGGAUGCAGGCCUAUGUGCCCUCAGGGAUGAAGGACACUUGGCUCAUGAGGCCAAUCCUGCUGUCUCUGCAAGCUGUGAAGGGUGCCCUAGAUCUGACUGCCCACCAGAUACUGAAGUGGGCCGAAGCCAAGUUCUCCAGAGCAAUAAGAAGAAUACGGAAACCCUUGUCCAGUAUUUACAGCUUCUCCGCAAGGAACUGCUCUGUGAUGAUAAGGCUUCCAGUGCUGCCAGGAGGGGAUCAGCCAACGGACUUGGCCAAAGUGACUAGCUAUCUGAUCGAAGAGAAGCUGCUACAGCCCCUUCGUGAGCUGUACGGCAUCAAUCUCCUGGCGGAGUACUACCGGAUCAAGCAUCGGCUGCUGGAGAACCCUUUUGAACACCAUGCAGUGAUGAUUGGGGACAGACACGUGGUGACAUUCGAUGGACAGGCCUAUGACCUUACCUCCAAAUGCAGCCUGUUACUCGCCAAAGACUUUGCUCACAACUCCUUCAUGUUUUUACUGAACCAGUCAAACACAAGACCUAGGUCCCUGUAUGUGGAGCUGAAUCACACAGCUUUCAUCAUCUAUCCAGGGCUUAAGAUCUACAAGAUAGAUGAUUCUUCCUCGUUGGGAGAGAAUUGUCUGGGCUUGGAUCCACUACCUGCCAAAGUCAGGGCCAAUGGGAGAAAAGAAGUUCAUAAAAUAGAAUUAUCCAAUGAGAAUGGUGCUACAGUCUCCUGCGAUAUUCAGUCUGAUCUCUGUAGUAUGACACUGGAUGGCUGGAAUCAUGGUAUGUCGGCAGGCAUCUUGGGCACCAAUGACAAUGAGGCGGGCAAUGACCUGGUGCUCCCAAAUGGCUCUCUGGCAGGAAACCUGGAUGAAUUCAUUGAGGCAUGGCAGGUGGAUGGUGAGUGCAGGACCCAGAGAAGGAAAGCAGAGGUCUGUCCUGGGGCUGCUUCUUCCAAACUCUGCAAGGCAUUCUUUCUGGAUGCCCAUUCUGAGCUCCGUAAUUGCUUCCAAGUGGUAGAUCCUGCCCGGUUCUACAGUAUGUGCAUCCGGGACACCUGUGAGAUAAGUGAACUCCAGGCUGCCUGCAGCAUGGUCUCUGCCUACAUCCACCUGUGCAGCCGAGGCUUCGUUCCCCUGGCAACUCCUCCUCCAUGUGUGUGAGAUUCUGCUCAGGGCAGCCAUAGGCUGACAAAGGAUGGCAAACUCUUUCGCCUUGUGACAUUAUCCAGCUCUAACAUCCAACAAGCAGCCGUAGUCUUGUAGAGAAUCAUCCCUAGCAAGGGGAGAAAACACAGGCACCCGAGAGAAUGAAGAAAAUGAGCAUGCCUAUGGCCUGCUGAAGGGCAGCCAUUUAUCGCUCUUUUAAGUAACAUGCAUGGCCAAGGACAUGGGAGCCUCCCCCAACAGGUUUCAGUGAAUCUCUUCCUCCUCCGCUGUAAGAGCCUAAGACACUGGGAUUCUCCUGUGCUCACUCUAGCCCCCAAAACUCUCUUCUGGCACGUCAGAGGGUGAAAAAAAGAGAGCAAUCUGCUUUGGCUCGAAAGAUGACUUAUUCAUCGCAUAUUUACUGAGCACCUACUAUAUGAAAUGCCGUGGUUCUGGAUCAAUUGUGUCAGCAGUAAGGAGGAGUGGGUAUCAGGAAGGCUGUCUUAGUUAUUAAUCCCAUCAGCUCAGGUUUCUUCCAGCUGUAUUUUGCCAUCAAAUUCCAUUUCGCCACCAGCUUAAAAGAACAAGUGACCUGACUUACUGCACAUGGCUUCCUUGACCUCAGCUGUCCCAACUUCCUACCAGGGUUGGGGAGAGUCUGGGGUUGUUGUUUGCUCAGGCAGCCAUAGCAUUUUCAAAAAGUGGGGAAGAUCUCUUGAGAUUUUCUUGUUAUCAAGUGUUUUGUUUUUUUUUUAAAUACUGCAAAUAAACUAGAUUCAAAUUUUGAGGUUUAGUGGGAA
ensembl:lncRNA